rfam:Perkinsus marinus ATCC 50983 gcontig_1104296455274, whole genome shotgun sequence.
GUAUAUAUAGUGUAACGGUAUCACGCCUGCUUUUCAUGCAGUAAUACCCAAGUUCUAUUCUUGCUGCGUUCA